GCUGGAGAAUGGAGUGGCUUCCUGCGGCGUUUGCACCGACGCCACUAUGCCGGUAAAGCCACGGGGCGUGUCCGUGACGCCGGCA
rnacentral:tRNA from 1 species